rnacentral:rRNA from 1 species
GCGUUGUCCGGAAUUAUUGGGCGUAAAGGGCGCGCAGGCGGUGCGCUAAGUCCAUGGUGAAAGCGCCCGGCUCAACUGGGCGAGUGCCAAGGAGACUGACGUGCUGGAGGGGAGCAGAGGCGAGUGGAAUUCCGGGUGUAGUGGUGAAAUGCGUAGAGAUCCGGAGGAACACCAGUGGCGAAGGCGGCUCGCUGGGCUCUACCUGACGCUGAGGCGCGAAAGCGUG